rnacentral:miRNA from 3 species
UUCACAGUGGCUAAGUUCCAC